rnacentral:rRNA from 1 species
GUGGGGAAUAUUGCACAAUGGGGGAAACCCUGAUGCAGCGACGCCGCGUGAGCGAUGAAGUAUUUCGGUAUGUAAAGCUCUAUCAGCAGGGAAGAAAAUGACGGUACCUGACUAAGAAGCCCCGGCUAACUACGUGCCAGCAGCCGCGGUAAUACGUAGGGGGCAAGCGUUAUCCGGAUUUACUGGGUGUAAAGGGAGCGUAGACGGCUUAGCAAGUCUGAAGUGAAAGCCCGGGGCUCAACCCCGGGACUGCUUUGGAAACUGUUAAGCUGGAGUGCUGGAGAGGUAAGCGGAAUUCCUAGUGUAGCGGUGAAAUGCGUAGAUAUUAGGAGGAACACCAGUGGCGAAGGCGGCUUUCUGGACGAUGACUGACGUUGAGGCUCGAAAGCGUGGGGAGCAAACAGG